UACGGAGGGGGUUAGCGUUGUUCGGAAUGACUGGGCGUAAAGCGCGCGUAGGCGGAUCAGGAAGUUGGGGGUGAAAUCCCGGGGCUCAACCCCGGAAUGGCCUUCAAAACUCCUGGUCUUGAGUUCGAGAGAGGUGAGUGGAAUUCCGAGUGUAGAGGUGAAAUGCGUAGAUAUGUGGAGGAACACCGAUGGCGAAGGCAGCCCCCUGGGAUGUGACUGACGCUCAUGUACGAAAGCGUGGGGAGCAAACAGG
rnacentral:rRNA from 1 species